rnacentral:lncRNA from 1 species
UAUGUAACAUCUUGUAAAAACCUUUGGUAAAUAUAUUCUGGGUGUGACGUAAUUUCUUUUUUUUUUUUUCUUUUUGAGGAAAAGUAGGGAUUAAAUUUUAUUUCCAUUUAGUAGGCAACAUUUGAUUGAAAUGGUUUUAAAAAUGGUGUUAGGAAUCACUCUACACAAACAAAAAGCUAAUUUUGGGAAUGCUUUUAUUUUAAUGCCAUUAUGUGGUCAUUUUUAAAGCAAAGUUUAAUAUUUUAAUAUUUGGUCUUCUUUCCUUUCCUCUCCACAUCCAUCACUUUUCUUCUCUAUUCUUCUUCUGUGGUUGAAGCCAUUGCUCUCUCUACUUUCUUCCUCCACAAAUCUUCUCUUUAUGCCCUCUCUUUGUUUAGUCUUUACUUAACCCACAACCAAUUUUGAAAAAUGGAACUAUUUGAAAGUGACUAAAGCUUUACAGAAUUUGACCCCUAAAUCAUUGCCUUCAGUUUUAUGAAACACAAAUAAUACAAUGACAUGAUAUAUAUUUCUCUCAAAUAAAACAAUCCAUAAGUAUACAGAAUGGCUUUUCAUGGAUUAUUACUUUCAAAAAGAAGCAAAUAUACUAUGAAUUAUGGAAGAUAAUGAGCUAUAUAUAUAUAUAUAUCGAGCUAGAAUAAGCCAAACAAAAGAAGAAACAAGAAAAGAAAGCACAAGAUCGAGUAAAAAGGUAAGAACAUUUGACGACUUGUUGAUGAACCUCUUCUCAUUUAGCAACAUCGGGUGACAUAUCGACAAAAUUUCGUCGAGAUACUUGAUUGGUCAAAUUAAAUAUAUCAAGAAGCGUGGUGUUGUUACAUUUAGGACAUUUAAGAUCAAACUUAGAUGACAUGAUGUACAUGAGGCAUUGAGUGCACCCUAAUAACACCAUGUCCACUCUUGAGGAAUCUUCUGUUGUUGAACUAGAUAUUGAUAAGGAUAGAUCUUGUGAUAUCGAUUCUGAUUUUGAAUGGCUGAAGCUUCGACCAUAGUUUAGAGGUGUUGAAUGAAAUGAAGCAGAGAGGA